AUUGAACGCUGGCGGCAGGCCUAACACAUGCAAGUCGAACGAGUGGCGGACGGGUGAGUACUGUCUGGGAAACUGCCCGAUGGAGGGGGAUAACUACUGGAAACGGUAGCUAAUACAGCAUACCAUCGGAUGUGCCCAGAUGGGAUUGGCUAGUAGGUGGGGUAACGGCUCACCUAGGCGACGCGCCCUAGCUGGUCUGAGAGGAUGACCCGCAACACUGGAACUGAGAAACGGCCCAGACUCCUACGGGAGGAAGCAGUGGGGAAUAUUGCACAAUGGGCGCAAGUCUGAUGCAGCCAUGCCGCGUGUAUGAAGAAGGCCUUCGGGUUGUAAAGUACUUUCAGCGAGGAGGCGGUACUCGCAGAAGAAGCACCGGCUAACUCCGUGCCAGCCGCCGCGGUAAUUC
rnacentral:rRNA from 1 species